UGGGGGAUAUUGCACAAUGGGCGAAAGCCUGAUGCAGCGACGCCGCGUGGGGGAUGAAGGCCUUCGGGUUGUAAACUUCUUUUGCUCUGAACAAGGCAUGCCUUUGGGGUGUGAUGAGUGUAGGGGUUGAUUAGCGCCGGCUAACUACGUGCCAGCAGCCGCGGUAAUACGUAGGGCGCGAGCGUUGUCCGGAAUUAUUGGGCGUAAAGGGCUUGUAGGUGGCUGGUUGCGUCUGUCGUGAAAGCUCAUGGCUUAACUGUGGGUUUGCGGUGGGUACGGGCUGGCUUGAGUGCAGUAGGGGAGGCUGGAAUUCCUGGUGUAGCGGUGGAAUGCGCAGAUAUCAGGAGGAAUACCGGUGGCGAAGGCGGGUCUCUGGGCUGUUACUGACGCUGAGGAGCGAAAGCGUGGGGAGCGAACAGG
rnacentral:rRNA from 1 species